rnacentral:piRNA from 1 species
UCUCAACCAGCUUCGAAAUUU